rnacentral:rRNA from 1 species
UACGUAGGGACCAAGCGUUGUUCGGAUUUACUGGGCGUAAAGCGCUCGCAGGUGGUCCGUUGCGUCGUGCGUGAAAGACCCCGGCUCAACUGGGGGGUGUCGUGCGAUACGGGCGGACUGGAGGCCAGUAGGGGGAUGCGGAAUUCCGGGUGUAGUGGUGGAAUGCGUAGAGAUCCGGAGGAACACCAGCGGCGAAGGCGGCAUCCUGGACUGGUCCUGACACUCAGGAGCGAAAGCGUGGGGAGCGAUCCGG